GUCCUUUCAACUACUUUGGCUCUGCACUUUGACUCCUUCACCAGGAAUCCUUCCUGAAACAUUUUACCAAGUCCUUUCAACCAUUGCUGCUCUGCACACUGACCCCUUCACCAGGAAUCCUUCCUGAAACAUUUUACCAAGAAUCGCUCUGAAAAUAAUUUAAAAAGUCCUUUCAACCAUUGCUGCUCUGCACACU